rnacentral:tRNA from 1 species
GCGGGUGUAGCUUAAUGGUAGAGCUCGGGUUUUCCAAACCUGCGACGAGGGUUCGAUUCCCUUCGCCCGCUCCA